rnacentral:lncRNA from 13 species
GCUUCCGUAAGUUCACCUCCUGUUUAUCCCACUCCUUGUUUAUUUUGGGAGCCUUCAUGGCUUGUGGCUGUAAGAGGGGAUGUUAAAAAGGAGCUGCCAGGCUCAGUGAGGUUUUCCCAGCUGGCUCAUGAGGAGGACAAGCAGGAUAACAAAGGGAAAGGGGAGAGUUGUAGGGAUCUGCACCUCCUGGUUCACUGGGCACACCUUGGGCAGAGGGGCUGCAGGGCAGGACAAUUCACAGUCACUGCCUUGAGGGCUCAGCUGAAGGCAGAAGAUGGUGCUCUUCUUUUCCAAGCCAUUGCAGCACCAGCAAAGAGUGAUUCCUGCUUUUUGAGCUUAGAAAGAGAAGAUGAAACUUCUGAUGAAGUGACUCAGCCAGCCCGGACACUCCAAAUGAUGCCAUCAGCACAAGAAACAAAGCUACAAACUAAGAGCCCUUUCUGUACCAGAUAAAGCUGUGCCAUCUUUCUCAGUUCUGUGAGCCAAUCCACUCCCAAACCUGGAGCCAAGUACCAAAGCUGAAUCUGAAACUGGGAAAUACUCAGGAGGACCUGCAAGACUGUAGGCAAAGAAUGGAAGAGCACCUGGGAAGGCAUGAAGAAAAGCUGGAGAUAUUCUGAGAGCCUAAAUUAUUUUAAUGGAUAGAAACAGGCCCCUCCUGAAAGUGACAGUUCUCCAUAGGCUCCUGAACACAAGAGAUCUCUUGGGAGGGAGAUCAGUUCAAGGAGCUAAUCAAGGAAGUCUGACAUGUCAAAUCACACUGAGGAAGACAAAAGGAACCCCCUCUGUUAUCAAACCAAGCACAGACAGUUGCUCUCAGGCCAGAACACUGACACUUCACUGUAACAAAACUCUUAAUCCUACUGAAAAAUGA